UACGUAGGGGGCAAGCGUUGUCCGGAAUCAUUGGGCGUAAAGCGCGCGUAGGCGGCCCUGUAAGUCCGCUGUAAAAGUCAAAGGCUCAACCUUUGAAAGCCGGUGGAUACUGCAGGGCUAGAGUCCGGAAGAGGCGAGUGGAAUUCCUGGCGUAGCGGUGGAAUGCGCAGAUAUCAGGAGGAACACCAAUAGCGAAGGCAGCUCGCUGGGACGGUACUGACGCUAAGGCGCGAAAGCGUGGGGAGCGAACAGG
rnacentral:rRNA from 1 species